rnacentral:rRNA from 1 species
AACAGGAUUAGAUACCCUGGUAGUCCACGCCGUAAACGAUGUCGACUUGGAGGUUGUGCCCUUGAGGCGUGGCUUCCGGAGCUAACGCGUUAAGUCGACCGCCUGGGGAGUACGGCCGCAAGGUUAAAACUCAAACGAAUUGACGGGGGCCCGCACAAGCGGUGGAGCAUGUGGUUUAAUUCGAUGCAACGCGAAGAACCUUACCUGGUCUUGACAUCCACGGAAGUUUUCAGAGAUGAGAAUGUGCCUUCGGGAACCGUGAGACAGGUGCUGCAUGGCUGUCGUCAGCUCGUGUUGUGAAAUGUUGGGUUAAGUCCCGCAACGAGCGCAACCCUUAUCCUUUGUUGCCAGCGGUCCGGCCGGGAACUCAAAGGAGACUGCCAGUGAUAAACUGGAGGAAGGUGGGGAUGACGUCAAGUCAUCAUGGCCCUUACGACCAGGGCUACACACGUGCUACAAUGGCGCAUACAAAGAGAAGCGACCUCGCGAGAGCAAGCGGACCUCAUAAAGUGCGUCGUAGUCCGGAUUGGAGUCUGCAACUCGACUCCAUGAAGUCGGAAUCGCUAGUAAUCGUGGAUCAGAAUGCCACGGUGAAUACGUUCCCGGGCCUUGUACACACCGCCCGUCACACCAUGGGAGUGGGUUGCAAAAGAAGUAGGUAGCUUAACCUUCGGGAGGGCGCUUACCACUUUGUGAUUCAUGACUGGGGUGAAGUCGUAACAAGGUAACC